UUGUCGGGUAAGUUCCGACCUGCACGAAUGGCGUAAUGAUGGCCACGCUGUCUCCACCCAAGACUCAGUGAAAUUGAAAUCGCUGUUAAGAUGCAGUGUACCCGCGGCUAGACGGAAAGACCCCGUGAACCUUUACUGCAGCUUGGCUGUGGCACCGGAAAUAAUAUGUGUAGGAUAGGUGGGAGGCUUUGAAGCAGCGGCGCCAGUCGUUGUGGAGCCAUCCUUGAAAUACCACCCUUAUUCUUUUCGUUGUCUAACCGCGUCCCUGGAUGGGACCGGGACCCAGCCUGGCGGGCAGUUUGACUGGGGCGGUCGCCUCCUAAAGCGUAACGGAGGCGCGCGAAGGUUGGCUCAGAGCGG
rnacentral:rRNA from 15 species